rnacentral:rRNA from 1 species
ACUCGAGUGGCGAACGGGUGAGUAACACGUGGGUGAUCUGCCCUGCACUUCGGGAUAAGCCUGGGAAACUGGGUCUAAUACCAGAUAGGACGAUGGUUUGGAUGCCAUUGUGGAAAGUUUUUCGGUGUGGGAUGAGCUCGCGGCCUAUCAGCUUGUUGGUGGGGUAAUGGCCUACCAAGGCGUCGACGGGUAGCCGGCCUGAGAGGGUGUACGGCCACAUUGGGACUGAGAUACGGCCCAG